GUCCUCUUCACCAUAGGGCAAUCACUUUUCAGGACCAACACGCUAUCUUCAACCCUUUCUAGCGCUUGUUUUUUUGAGCUUGGUGAAUAAGUUAGUGGUCCUCCCCAUGGUGAAAUUAGUAACAAGGUGACGGAUUCACCACAGUGCCCUCUCACCAGGAACACCAGCUCAUGGUGAAAUCAUGGUGAAAUUACUAAUAAACGUUUGCUAUCUCUCUCUAGCGCUUGCCUCUCUGAGAGCUGAGAGAGUGUGGUGAAUAAUCUGGUGCUCUUCCACUCAGCUGACGACGUCACCUUGUUAGUAAUUUUACCAUGGUCCUCCCCACAGC
rnacentral:lncRNA from 1 species